rnacentral:sRNA from 1 species
AUGAUUGUAGGUUAACCAUCACACGAGGA